UUUAACAAAUGGCUCCACAUACGGGUUCAGCUACUCCAGAGCAAAUUGACGUACUUCUCAAUUUCUUGGACGAGCAUAGGGAUCUUGCUCGUGGAAGAUUGAGGGGUGCCGAUGGCAAUGUCCAAACUAAGAGACUGUGGGAAAAAUUGUGCAAUUCACUCAAUUCUAUGGGUGGUUGUACAAAAACAAUCCAGCAAAAAGUACCUUUAUUUUUAAAUAAUUGUCAAAAAAAUCACUGUGUGCCAAAUAAACAGUUACAUAAAAUAUCUCAUCCUUUUAUAUCAUGCAGGUUUGGUUCGAUAGAAAACAUCUUGCCAAAAAAGCUACUGCUGAUUCUCGAAGAUCAACUUCAGCAACUGGAGGUGGACCAUCGCUCACACCACCACUCUCCCAAUUGCAGGUGUAGGUCCUGUUAAUAAUGGGAGAUGGGUUUGGUGGACGUCAAACUACAGCCAGAGUACCGGCCUUCAGUGAGGCUAAUGUACCAUCCACCUCCAGUCAUGUCCCACCACAGUCUCAAAUAAGUUUGGAUUUGCCAGAAGUUAUGGAAUAUGCUGUACCCAGUCAGGAAGAUAUUCAGUCCACACAGCUGAUGUCUCUAUCUCAGACACCCAGAAGUUGUAAGCAUUUGUUAAAUACAUAUUAACCAAUAAAAACUCCGAGAAUGGAAAAACGUAGCCACAAAAAUAAGCGAACUCACUGGUAAAACCAGAACUGACGGUGAAGUAAAGUUGGCCUGUAAGAGGAUGAAACUUGCAGCCAGAGCAAAUUUAUCUAUUCAUAGGCAAGAACAAAUGCGUACAGGUGGUGAAAAAACCAAAGUCACCAUCUCUGGAAGACCAGG